rnacentral:rRNA from 4 species
GAUGGGAGCUUGCUCCCUGAUGUUAGCGGCGGACGGGUGAGUAACACGUGGGUAACCUGCCUGUAAGACUGGGAUAACUCCGGGAAACCGGGGCUAAUACCGGAUGGUUGUCUGAACCGCAUGGUUCAGACAUAAAAGGUGGCUUCGGCUACCACUUACAGAUGGACCCGCGGCGCAUUAGCUAGUUGGUGAGGUAACGGCUCACCAAGGCGACGAUGCGUAGCCGACCUGAGAGGGUGAUCGGCCACACUGGGACUGAGACACGGCCCAGACUCCUACGGGAGGCAGCAGUAGGGAAUCUUCCGCAAUGGACGAAAGUCUGACGGAGCAACGCCGCGUGAGUGAUGAAGGUUUUCGGAUCGUAAAGCUCUGUUGUUAGGGAAGAACAAGUGCCGUUCAAAUAGGGCGGCACCUUGACGGUACCUAACCAGAAAGCCACGGCUAACUA